rnacentral:rRNA from 1 species
UACAGAGGGGGCAAGCGUUGUUCGGAAUUACUGGGCGUAAAGGGCGCGUAGGCGGCCCGCUAAGUCGAGCGUGAAAUCCCCGAGCUCAACUCGGGAACUGCGUCCGAUACUGGUGGGCUUGAAUCCGGGAGAGGGAUGCGGAAUUCCAGGUGUAGCGGUAGAAAUGCGUAGAUAUCUGGAGGAACACCGGUGGCGAAGGCGGCAUCCUGGACCGGCAUUGACGCUGAGGCGCGAAAGCCUAGGGGAGCAAACGGGG